rnacentral:misc_RNA from 1 species
UCCGGUUUGGCACCGGCAGUCCCCCUAGAGUUCCCGGCUUUACCCGCUGGUAACUAAGGGCAAGGGUUGCGCUCGUUGCGGGACUUAACCCAACAUCUCACGACACGAGCUGACGACAGCCAUGCAGCAUCUGUGGCCGGACCCCGAAGGGCGACCCGGAUCUCUCCAGAUCUUCCCGGUCAUGUCAAGCGCAGGUAAGGUUCUUCGCGUUGCGUCGAAUUAAACCACAUGCUCCACCGCUUGUGCGGGCCCCCGUCAAUUCCUUUGAGUUUCAACCUUGCGGUCGUACUCCCCAGGCGGGGCACUUACUGCGUUAGCGACGGCACUCAGAGGGUCGCUCCCCCAAGCACCUAGUGCCCAUCGUUUACGGCGUGGACUAC